rnacentral:rRNA from 1 species
UACGUAGGGUGCGAGCGUUGUCCGGAAUUACUGGGCGUAAAGAGCUCGUAGGUGGUUUGUCGCGUUGUUCGUGAAAACUCACAACUCAAUUGUGGGCGUGCGGGCGAUACGGGCAGACUGGAGUACUGCAGGGGAGACUGGAAUUCCUGGUGUAGCGGUGGAAUGCGCAGAUAUCAGGAGGAACACCGGUGGCGAAGGCGGGUCUCUGGGCCAAAACUGACGCUGAGGAGCGAAAGCGUGGGGAGCGAACAGG